rnacentral:lncRNA from 1 species
UUUGUAUUUAGCCCCAUGCACCUAAACAAAAUUAUAAAUGAUUCUACCAAAUUUAUAUUUGCACAUAUAGUCUUUUUUUUGUCACGCAAGCAUUACGUUUGUAUUUUUAUGUUGAACACGAUGAAUGAACCAUCAUAUUUAAACACAGUGAUUGGAUCACCGUGUUUAUAUCCAUGCUAUAAUCUCUCAUUUUUUACUUAAAAACAAAAAAAAUAAAAAAAAAAUAUACAAUAAUCUAAUCAUCCUAUUCAAUUUAAAAAUACCACAUAAGUGCUA